GCCGUCAUCCUCCGUUCAAGUCAGCCAUGGCGCCGCCGCAGCACGCCCCCCGCCGCCCCUACAAGCGCCCGGCCAUCUCCGACCAGCAGCGCCGCCGCGACUCCGCCCUCCAGACCCAGUCCGCCCGCCGCGCCGACGCCCAGGCGCGCGCGCGCAGCCUCGCCAACUCCCUGCUCUCUCCCCAACCCUCCUCCCCCGCCGCCGCCGACCAACCCCCGCCCUCCCCCGACGCCCCCGACGAACGCGGACAUGAUCCCACCGUCGCCGACGUCGCCUCGGCCGCAGCCAAGCUCCGCGGCCCCGACCAGCGCCGCUGGUUCGCCCGCCAGAUCAUGCUCCCGGAGUGGAUGGUCGACGCCCCUCCCCACCUCGCCCGCGACUGGCAUGUUUCUGCCAGACCCGCUGGCAAACGAUGCAUGGUCGUGUCGUCGAACGGCAUCACGAUUAGCAGGCUCCGUAACGGAACCAUUCUUCACCGGUUCCCCUCCGCCUUACCCAACGGGUCCAAGAAAGGACUCUCUGGUCCUGCAAGCUCCUACUCUAUCCUUGACUGCAUAUUCCAUGAGCCUGAUGAGACGUACUACAUCGUUGAUAUGAUUUGUUGGCGAGGCUAUUCGCUCUAUGAUUGCACUGCUGAGUUCAGAUUUUUCUGGGUGAACUCCAAGCUUACGGAGACUUCUGCUGGCGAUCCUCCAUCGACAUACCAUCGGUAUAGAUUCAGUGCUGUUCCUAUGUAUGAGUCCACGCUUGAUGGCCUUCAGGCAGCAUAUUCGGGAAGCACACCUUAUGUUAAAGAUGGCUUGCUGUUCUAUAACAAGCAUGCACAUUAUCAAGCUGGAAUCACACCCCUUACGCUAGUAUGGAAAGACGAGACUUGCAGCCAAUAUCUUCUUGAUACGGAUAGUGAGGGACAAGUUCCAACUGAGCAACACGUUGUGUUGGAGCUGCAAGAGGAUGGAAAGCUAGUUACUUCUGAUGAUCCUCCAAUUGCAUUUGGUAGCUUGGACAACGAAUUUAUCCAGAAGUCAAACCUGCGGCCUGGGAACCUUCUUCGCUUCAGUGUAAGAGAUGAAAGUGUGAAACUUGUGGAUGGGAAGAUGGAGAUUGGUCAGCUGCAACUUGCCGGGAAGCUGAACCGUUCUCGUACUUCCGCUGACAGCCACUCCAAAGUUUUGUUCCAGUAUGCUGCCAGGCAUGCUCCUCUGAGAAUUGAGGAUCUGGUAGCCUCUGUUCAAUCAAACAGUAUGGAGAUUGAAUCCACAGAUGUUGAAAUGCAAGGUUGAGUUUAUUUGUAUCUUUCACCUUUUCGAACAUGUGUAAUGGCAGUCAUUCAAGGCUGAAGGAAUACAUGUGCCAAUUUUGGCAUUUGAGUGGAUACCAUGUUAGGUUGAAGUAGAUGCAAAACGAGACCAAGGGGUGAGCUCGCUGUGGCAUUCAGGUGGCGAUUUGAGCAAACGACGUGAUGGUCUGGAAGCCGUGAUCCUCAGGAAGCGGCGCGUUUCCAGGCCUGAUCGAUAUUAGCACCUCAAGACCUGCAAAACCAGUAGAUGAAUCAAGCCAUCUGUGAGUAUGCGAAAGGCAAGCACUAUGGAUUUACGAUGCAGCUCAUUUUGUGAAGUGCUGCUUUUUUUUAUCUUGUGUCUGAAACAUAUAUUACUGCGUUCUUUUGAGUGAGUGUGUGUGGAAGUUACUCGAACGCCCCCCGCAAGGAAACGUUAUUUCGGCGAAAUGCUGUGUUUUAUUCAGUUAUGUA